GAGAAGGUACAUAAUGCAGUCGAGCGGAUUGAUGGGAGCUUGCUCCCUGAUAUCAGCGGCGGACGGGUGAGUAACACGUGGGUAACCUGCCUGUAAGACUGGGAUAACUCCGGGAAACCGGGGCUAAUACCGGAUAACUCAUUUCCUCGCAUGAGGAAAUGUUGAAAGGUGGCUUCGGCUACCACUUACAGAUGGACCCGCGGCGCAUUAGCUAGUUGGUGAGGUAACGGCUCACCAAGGCAACGAUGCGUAGCCGACCUGAGAGGGUGAUCGGCCACACUGGGACUGAGACACGGCCCAGACUCCUACGGGAGGCAGCAGUAGGGAAUCUUCCGCAAUGGACGAAAGUCUGACGGAACAACGCCGCGUGAGUGAUGAAGGUUUUCGGAUCGUAAAGCUCUGUUGUUAGGGAAGAACAAGUGCCGUUCGAAUAGGGCGGCACCUUGACGGUACCUAACCAGAAAGCCACGGCUAACUACGUGCCAGCAGCCGCGGUAAUACGUAGGUGGCAAGCGUUGUCCGGAAUUAUUGGGCGUAAAGCGCGCGCAGGUGGUUCCUUAAGUCUGAUGUGAAAGCCCACGGCUCAACCGUGGAGGGUCAUUGGAAACUGGGGAACUUGAGUGCAGAAGAAGAAAGUGGAAUUCCAAGUGUAGCGGUGAAAUGCGUAGAUAUUUGGAGGAACACCAGUGGCGAAAGCGACUUUCUGGUCUGUAACUGACACUGAAGCGCGAAAGCGUGGGGAGCAAAACAGGAUUAGAUACCCUGGUAGUCCACGCCGUAAACGAUGAGUGCUAAGUGUUAGGGGUUUCCGCCCCUUAGUGCUGCAGCUAACGCAUUAAGCACUCCGCCUGGGGAGUACGGUCGCAAGACUGAAACUCAAAGGAAUUGACGGGGCCCGCACAAGCG
rnacentral:rRNA from 1 species